GACUGGGGCGGCCGGGGCUCGGGCGGCACGGCGCUGCGACGGCGCGGGGCGCCUGCGAGGGCGCCGGGGCACUCGGAAGGUUUGCUCCCCUCGGGAACAGCCUCUCUCGGGUCGCCCCUUGGGUACGGGACGCUGCUUCAGGGCCUGACCCAGCGCACCCCAGCGCAUCUCCCCCUUCGGGUGGCACCACCUUGCCCCGCUCCUCUCGCGGCCCUUCUCGGGAUGAGAUCUUCCUGUGCUAAUAGAGAUUUGAGCAUGCGAUCCUUGAAAUUAUUUGGAUGGUUACAAUGCUGUGGAAUGCCUUGUCACAAUAAUGCCUAUUCUAUAGUUUAUCUUCUGGCUGUAAAUAAAAGCCAUUAAAAAGCCUUACGAGUCAACACUUUGGUACAGCUCUAUUUUAACACACCUCUCUAUAUGGAGAUUGUCUGAUUAUGCUUUAUAUUCUGACAUUUAAAAAAGCAGAGGCUCCUUAAGAGCUUACAGCACAAUAGCACAAAAUAAUUUACUGUUGUUUGAAGAAGACUUUCAAAUGCCCCUCCAGAUGCCUCUGAAGUGACUGUUGACUGUUUGCCUGCUGGUGUGAAAGCUGGAGAAUGGUGAUACCCAGUGUCAUGAGAGCUCCUCAGCAUGUGGGGAUCAGCCUACUUCCAUCAGACCACAUGAGCCAUGGGCUUGGCUUUUUCCACGCUAUGUGAGUUAUUUGCAACUACAAAGAGUGUCAUGUUCAAUGACCAGCAGCAGAGACAAUAGAUAAAAUUUGUAGAAAUUUCAUCUGUAUCUCACUCUAGUGCAAAAAAUGCCCUAAAACAAACUUAACUUUGGAAAAAGAGAGCUGUCCUGUGAUAGCUCAUAUCUGAGGAUAUUUCUCCAGAUUAUAUUCAAAGACUUCUGGAGUUUUCAUGUCCUUUAUUGUCUCAGGGGUAUUUCUUGGUGGAAUCUUCCAGCAAGAGUUUGAGUACUGCCAGAAAUUCAACAGAAGAGUGGACUGAAGUGGACUGAAUACCAGAUCCUGGACUGUGUAGUUUCACUGCAGUUUUCUCCAGUAUCCAAAAAUUCUAAUUCUACAGAGAAAACUUACUUUUCCAUGCCAGCAGGCCUAGGACUGAGUUUCAUUACUCCUGCAGCCGGUAUUGCCACAUCCCCUCCUGUAGCGGGUUGAGUUCGAAACCGGGCAGAAACACCAAUUAAAUGUAGUGGUUUUG
rnacentral:lncRNA from 1 species